GUUGUAUGGUUAAGUGACUAAGCGUACACGGUGGAUGCCUGGGCAGUCAGAGGCGAUGAAGGACGUACUAACUUGCGAUAAGCGCAGAUAAGGCAGUAAGAGCCGUUUGAGUCUGCGAUUUCCGAAUGGGGAAACCCAACUGCAUAAGCAGUUACUGUUAACUGAAUACAUAGGUUAACAGAGCAAACCGGGGGAACUGAAACAUCUAAGUACCCCGAGGAGAAAAAAUCAACCGAGAUUCCGGUAGUAGCGGCGAGCGAACCUGGAUUAGCCCUUAAGCACUCGGUGAAGUAGGUGAACAAGCUGGAAAGCUUGGCGAUACAGGGUGAUAGCCCCGUAACCGACGCUUCAUCGAGCGUGAAAUCGAGUAGGGCGGGACACGUGAUAUCCUGUCUGAAUAUGGGGGGACCAUCCUCCAAGGCUAAAUACUCCUGACUGACCGAUAGUGAACCAGUACCGUGAGGGAAAGGCGAAAAGAACCCCUGUGAGGGGAGUGAAAUAGAACCUGAAACCGUGUACGUACAAGCAGUAGGAGCACCUUCGUGGUGUGACUGCGUACCUUUUGUAUAAUGGGUCAGCGACUUAUAUUCAGUGGCAAGGUUAACCGUAUAGGGGAGCCGUAGCGAAAGCGAGUCUUAACUGGGCGCUCAGUCUCUGGAUAUAGACCCGAAACCGGGUGAUCUAGCCAUGGGCAGGUUGAAGGUUGAGUAACAUCAACUGGAGGACCGAACCGACUAAUGUUGAAAAAUUAGCGGAUGACUUGUGGCUAGGGGUGAAAGGCCAAUCAAACUCGGAGAUAGCUGGUUCUCCCCGAAAGCUAUUUAGGUAGCGCCUCGGACGAAUACUACUGGGGGUAGAGCACUGUUAAGGCUAGGGGGUCAUCCCGACUUACCAACCCUUUGCAAACUCCGAAUACCAGUAAGUACUAUCCGGGAGACACACGGCGGGUGCUAACGUCCGUCGUGGAGAGGGAAACAACCCAGACCGCCAGCUAAGGUCCCAAAGUAUUGCUAAGUGGGAAACGAUGUGGGAAGGCUCAGACAGCUAGGAUGUUGGCUUAGAAGCAGCCAUCAUUUAAAGAAAGCGUAAUAGCUCACUAGUCGAGUCGGCCUGCGCGGAAGAUGUAACGGGGCUAAGCAAUACACCGAAGCUGCGGCAAUAUCUUUUAGAUAUUGGGUAGGGGAGCGUUCUGUAAGCCGUUGAAGGUGAAUCGUAAGGUUUGCUGGAGGUAUCAGAAGUGCGAAUGCUGACAUGAGUAACGACAAAGGGGGUGAAAAACCUCCUCGCCGGAAGACCAAGGGUUCCUGUCCAACGUUAAUCGGGGCAGGGUGAGUCGACCCCUAAGGUGAGGCCGAAAGGCGUAAUCGAUGGGAAACGGGUUAAUAUUCCCGUACUUCUGACUAUUGCGAUGGGGGGACGGAGAAGGCUAGGUGGGCCAGGCGACGGUUGUCCUGGUUCAAGUGCGUAGGCUUGAGAGUUAGGUAAAUCCGGCUCUCUCUAAGGCUGAGACACGACGUCGAGCUGCUACGGCAGUGAAGUCAUUGAUGCCAUGCUUCCAGGAAAAGCCUCUAAGCUUCAGAUAGUCAGGAAUCGUACCCCAAACCGACACAGGUGGUCGGGUAGAGAAUACCAAGGCGCUUGAGAGAACUCGGGUGAAGGAACUAGGCAAAAUGGUACCGUAACUUCGGGAGAAGGUACGCUCUUGAUGGUGAAGUCCCUCGCGGAUGGAGCUGACGAGAGUCGCAGAUACCAGGUGGCUGCAACUGUUUAUUAAAAACACAGCACUGUGCAAAAUCGCAAGAUGACGUAUACGGUGUGACGCCUGCCCGGUGCCGGAAGGUUAAUUGAUGGGGUUAGCGCAAGCGAAGCUCUUGAUCGAAGCCCCGGUAAACGGCGGCCGUAACUAUAACGGUCCUAAGGUAGCGAAAUUCCUUGUCGGGUAAGUUCCGACCUGCACGAAUGGCGUAAUGAUGGCCACGCUGUCUCCACCCGAGACUCAGUGAAAUUGAAAUCGCUGUGAAGAUGCAGUGUACCCGCGGCUAGACGGAAAGACCCCGUGAACCUUUACUACAGCUUGACACUGAACAUUGAACCUACAUGUGUAGGAUAGGUGGGAGGCUAUGAAGACGUGACGCCAGUUGCGUUGGAGCCGUCCUUGAAAUACCACCCUUGUAUGUUUGAUGUUCUAACUUAGACCCAUUAUCUGGGUUGAGGACAGUGCCUGGUGGGUAGUUUGACUGGGGCGGUCUCCUCCCAAAGAGUAACGGAGGAGCACGAAGGUGGGCUAAUCACGGUUGGACAUCGUGAGGUUAGUGCAAUGGCAUAAGCCCGCUUAACUGCGAGAAUGACGGUUCGAGCAGGUGCGAAAGCAGGUCAUAGUGAUCCGGUGGUUCUGUAUGGAAGGGCCAUCGCUCAACGGAUAAAAGGUACUCCGGGGAUAACAGGCUGAUACCGCCCAAGAGUUCAUAUCGACGGCGGUGUUUGGCACCUCGAUGUCGGCUCAUCACAUCCUGGGGCUGAAGUCGGUCCCAAGGGUAUGGCUGUUCGCCAUUUAAAGUGGUACGCGAGCUGGGUUUAGAACGUCGUGAGACAGUUCGGUCCCUAUCUGCCGUGGGCGUUGGAAGAUUGAAGGGGGCUGCUCCUAGUACGAGAGGACCGGAGUGGACGAACCUCUGGUGUUCGGGUUGUGUCGCCAGACGCAUUGCCCGGUAGCUAAGUUCGGAAUUGAUAAGCGCUGAAAGCAUCUAAGCGCGAAGCGAGCCCUGAGAUGAGUCUUCCCUGA
rnacentral:rRNA from 1 species